GAGUAAUGUCUGGGAAACUGCCUGAUGGAGGGGGAUAACUACUGGAAACGGUGGCUAAUACCGCAUAACGUCGCAAGACCAAAGAGGGGGACCUUCGGGCCUCUUGCCAUCAGAUGUGCCCAGAUGGGAUUAGCUUGUUGGUGAGGUAACGGCUCACCAAGGCGACGAUCCCUAGCUGGUCUGAGAGGAUGACCAGCCACACUGGAACUGAGACACGGUCCAGACUCCUACGGGAGGCAGCAGUGGGGAAUAUUGCACAAUGGGCGCAAGCCUGAUGCAGCCAUGCCGCGUGUAUGAAGAAGGCCUUCGGGUUGUAAAGUACUUUCAGCGGGGAGGAAGGUGUUGUGGUUAAUAACCGCAGCAAUUGACGUUACCCGCAGAAGAAGCACCGGCUAACUCCGUGCCAGCAGCCGCGGUAAUACGGAGGGUGCAAGCGUUAAUCGGAAUUACUGGG
rnacentral:rRNA from 2 species